rnacentral:lncRNA from 1 species
UGGCCACUAUAGUUGCUCUUUGCAGUGGUCUGGGGAGGAAGAAGUUGACACACCUUGUAAUGGCUGCUGUUAGCCUUACACAUCCCAGGACUCAUAUGGUGCUAUGGAGAAGAGGUUGUUCACAAUAUAAACAGAUAUCCAGCAAUGAGGACCUGCCCAUUCCAAUGGAAAAUUCUUAUAAAGAAGCCCUUAAGAAAUGUAUCUUGUGUGGAAAGCAGGUAGAUUUUAAGAAUGUACAGCGUCCCAGUUUAUUUCUCCAUUUGUUGGAUGCAUUUGUGGAAGGCACAAAACAGGUCUUUGUGGGAAGAAACAGAAAGAAAUCACAAAAGCAAUUAAGAGAGCUCAAAUAAUGGGGUUUCUGCCAGUUACAUCCAAGGAUGCUGCAUAUCUCAAGGACCCUAAAGUUUGUAACAUCAGAUAUCAGGAGUAA